UGGAGUGGAGCUCAGGCCAAAUGAAUGGCAUUACCUGGCUCUUAUCCACUUCUGGGCACAAGGAAUAAAUGUUGUGAUGGUCUAUUCCCUUCCCUGAGGUUACAAAUACAUCAGCGGAUAGUGCGUGGCUUUCAAACGCUGCAAGUGCCUCUUUGUCCCUAGUGAGGUGCAGAUCACACCAUCGUUCUGUGAGGUGCAAUGCCUUCUGAGUCAGUGGCUUCUACUGAACCUGCUAAUUGUUAAUAUCUGUAAUUACCUUCUAACCUCUUCCUCGCUCCCCCCCUAUUCCUUUAGCACAGUCUUUGCUACUGUUUACUAGUCCAGGCACCUGCCUGCAUGGGAGUGACUCAGUUUGCUCCUGGAUUGAGUAUCAACCUGUAACUUGCAUUACGUGGUUCAGAAAGGUAAGGCUUACAGUAACAGACUGUAUUCUUCCAGUACGGGUGUGUUUUAGGUCAAAGGAUAAGCAUGCUGUUGUAAAGACUGUUGAAUAGUGUUUAAAAACAUUGGGAAAUUAACUGUUUAUUCAAUGAAGUGGAAGGCUGUGCUGAAUCCCCUGGCAACAGACCAAGGCACUGUGGUGUGAUGUGAUUGCUCUCUUUCCCCUAAAGCCUAAAUGCCAACCAGGGCCAUGGUGUGAGACUGUCCCAGGCUCCCAUAGACGUAGCAGGAUGGAUUGCCUGCACCAAAUGAUAGACUCUUGCGAUGAGGUGGGAAGUGCAAUAGCACACCCAGGCUGUUUUGCCAUUCAGAGACGUUUCCUCCCUAGGAAACCCCUGGCUGAAAUGGCAUGAUUCUCUCUGCAAAGCUGCACCAGCUGAUGUUCUAAGUAGGGGACUUCCAUUCCUCAGAGUUCAGCCUAGCCUUAAAUAAUGUCAUAUUCCAUGAACUUUCCCUACCUUUCCCAUUUUUUAUUAAAUGCUCUGAUUCUGUGAGUUUCAGCUGAGGAGGUGCUGGUGACUGGGAUAAAUUUUGCAGUUAACCACUUUUACUCAUCCCAUUGUAUUUAGGAAGAUAUUGACAGCUCUGGUCAAAAGGCCCCAUUUAAAUUUCAGUCAUCUGCUGACACAUUAAAUGUUUUGGAUGCCUUCUGCUGGUGAUUUACAAAGAAAUAAAUGAAAUAAAACUAAAGAAGGAAACAUCAUAAAUGCCCAUUCCACAUCUCUCUCUCAGCUGUCUUUCACACUUUAUUGGUAUAAUUAUAGCUCAUCUCCCCAUGUUCCCUUAGCAACAGAUGAGGAGGUGGAUGGCUGCUUUCUGCACCACUGCCUUGCUUGGAGGACUUGGCAAGUGGUGCUGCUCUGCCUUCUGCCCCGAGGUGGGAUGCUGACAGGAGGAGAGCUCCUGCGGGGCGACCCACAACUGUACAGGGAAGAGAUCACAGCUCUGCCCUCCAUGACCAGCCCGGGAGCCCAAGAUGCAGAAGGAGAAGACAAAGGCAAAGUCUCACUCCCCAGAGGAUGUAAAAGCAAAGAUACCAUAAUGAAUUUGUUAUAAAUUCCACCUUAGAAUAUGUUCCACUUCUAGAAAAGAAGUUAAAUUAGAAGUGUUUCUUCAAAUAAAGGUUUGUGUCAUUUCAUUUAAAGGACCCUACAGGUCCCCGUGGGUGUGGGUAGGGAAACAUUUGCCAGAAAACAGCUGAGAAACUUAAGAUACCCAGAGUCGCCUGACAGUGUCCAAGGCCACCACACACUCAGGCCACCUGCAUGGAGGUGGCAGCUGAUACAUGUGCAAAUCAUAUAUACCUGAUGUGAGUAGGCAGCCCUGGAGGGGUUGCUCAAACACCCACCCAGAGGCUGUGGCACGUCAGGAUGAUUCCCUGCUCCUGAGUAAAGUAUUUGGACUAGUGACUCCCUGCUUGUGCCCCAGCCAUGUAACUGCAUGUGGGGGUGUCAUCUAUAAGGGGAGGGGGUAAAAAUAGAGUGUACUGCCUGAAUAGGCACCUGCUAUUAAAAGUAAUAGCUUUGAUUCCAUUAAUGAUGACAGUUUCUUUGGUAGAAGUUGUUAUAUAACUAUUCAUUGGGAUCUGUCUCCCCCCGACUUGAUUCCUGGAGGAACGAUAAAAGGAGAGUGAAUACAACAUCCACAUGGUCUUUUGCUGUGUCCUGAUAAACUCCCUUACCAGGAUCUGCAUUCCUCCCUUGACACCAGGAAGGAGCCCUGGAAAGGUCAUAUAUGCAACUGUUGUCAGACCUAAGAAUAAAAGCAGUUUAGAGGAGCUUUAGUAAUACGUCUCUUGUUCCUGCUGAAGACAGAGGAAUGGGUUGGGAGGAGAACUUAACUUUCAGAUGAGCAAAACCUAUCUUUUAAUUUUGGUACCCCAUUUAUACCUUAACAUGAGGCUUUCACAGGCAGAGAUCCAAUGCUGAACUCAAGCAAAAAUAAAGGCACUUAACAAUAUCCCAAUACGUACCAACAAAUGAGAAGGGAGAGCCCCAGCUCCAGGAGAUGUGCAGAAUAAAAAGAUGAGACAGUGUAAUGCUGGCAGGGAAACCAUAGCAGGCAGGGAAGGAUUUGCUCAAUAUCACAAACAAGGCAGGUCCUUAGCAGGGCAAGUGCACUGACCCAACUCCGAGGCCAUGCCCAGUAAAAUGUACUUCCCAAAACAGGCUUACCAGCAUUUCUUCUUCAUUUCUACCUUAUCUUCAUUUGACUUCAUUUAAAAUAAAAAAAAAAAUAUUUAAAAAAAUUCUUUUAAAGUAGUGCUAGACACUGGAGGCUGGACCCACCACUACUUAUGGACCAUAGCACAGCAUUUCAGGCAUAGAAAUGGAAAUCCUCAAAAGUAUCUGAGUAAGAGCAAAAAGUUAUCCAGCUUUAUCUGCCUAUCUUGGUGUCAGUUGUAUAAAUUAUAAUUCCUAUUUCUUAAAGGGAAAAUAAUGGUAGUGAAGAAAAGCAUUCAUGCACUUGGCUUCAAUUUCUAAUGAAUGUAUUUUGAUGGGAAAACUGUUUACUGCUUCGGAGUAUGUUCACUUGAAAGAACAAUGAAAGAACAAAGAACGGCUUCUGUGAUGGCUUUCUUGAAUGGCACAGUUGAGAACAUGAAUCAUUCAUGAUUUAUCAUCUGCAAUUGAUGUCUUAUUUAUUCCCUCCUUUUAAUUUAAUUUACUUGUAUGUAUGGGAGAUUAAAUCACACUUUUCCUGCUGAGGCAAAACAUAAUAUGAAUGAAAACCUAAUCAAAGAGAUGGCAGCAGCCUAAAGCUGUUGUGCUGGGUAAAACACAAACAGGCAAGGCGUAAAAAUAAAGAGACCUGGUAGAAAUGAUAACACCCACAGAAAAUGGGUGGUAGGUUUAUUUUGGGUAACAGUAGUUCUCGGCUCAGUUGGGCUGGAUGCUGAGCUGCCUUGACAAGAGGUUUUUUAAGGAAUGCUCAGAUAAAAGCAUGGUCUUGAUAUCACUAUCUUUAAGUAUAUCCAGAACUUAAGAAAUUGCUUAAUGGUCUGCUUAUUGCUGUCUGGGUUAUUUGCCAGAAAACAAAGGCUCAAAAUAUUUAGUUGGUCUGGGAUCAUUCUGCAGCAGACUCCAUGAGGAUGGUGGUUCUCAAGAAAUGCUCUCUCCAUGGGUUUUGGUACCUCCCCUUUUAACACUUAGUCACCCUUUCUUGGGCACGUCUCAUUUCCAACCCUCUAGGUUCUCCACAGCCUUCUCUGCCAUUCAGUAAUCACCACUCUCUUUGGCCUUGGCAAACUCAGCAACUGAAGCCAGGGGAAGAGCUCCUUGCUAUUUCUCAGCCAGCUCCAGCUACUCCCAAACUACUGUUAGUCCCUUACUUCAACCCUUUUUAAAAGACCCUGCACUUGAGCUAUGCCCAGGACUUGCCUCCUCCUACCCUCACACAAAUGCCAAAACAGCUGAGAACUGGAUGGAGGGAGAGAAGGGAAGAUGGGGAGAGGACAAUCAAAGACCAGCUGGCUGCUAGCUCCCAUCCUUCCCCAGGUAGGUGCUACCUGUCUCCAGAAAGAGAUUCACUACUCCAAAGGGAUCCAGACCUGGAAAAAAUAUGGCUUCUGGUAUGUAGUUAAAGGACAGACUUAUCUGCACUUAUUUGGAACAGAAGUAAUUUUUUUCUGGUAUUUAUAACUAGGUAGGAUGUAGUUGCAACUGGUUUUUCCUUGUCUAGCUCCUGCUUUCACGUGGGCUUGUGUUAUACUAAAAACGAUCCAGACGUGGUUUCUGAAUGUCAGCCUGUUCGUCUGAGGAGUUUUAAUUUCCCAACCAAGAUAAGAAGCUUGAAAACUGAUAUCCCAGAGGGAAAUUGGCUGAAAUGCUGUAAACUACAGACUGUGCUAAAAGAAAGCCACCUACAGAGAAAUAUAUCAGCAAUGAGCACAUGUUUAAAAUUGACUUUUAAAAUAGAUGUAACUGGGGAUUAACUACUAUCACUAUACUGGCAACUCAGCACCAGUGUCUGCAAAGAGAGCAUGGGGAUUUUAAUCAACUCAUUCAUUCAUGUCAAAUCUUUGUAGCUUAUGUAAAAAAAAAAACUCUUCUGUAUGUCCCUAAAUGCCCCUGACAGCUGACUAUGAUUUGAUCAAAACACCUCUUUUUCUGAGUGCAACUUCCUCUUCCUUUGAAAAUGAACAGUUUUAAUGCAUCAGACCUCUUCUAACCUACUUUCAUCGCCUUUUUAAAGGAAAAGUGUAACUUGAAUAUUGAUGCUCUGGCUGAAGACAAUUUUUCUUUGGUGCUUUAUUACCUAUUAGACUCUCCAUUGGUAAGGAAAGAAUUUAUUACAAACAGAACCUACUCAAUCAACUGUUCCGGACUUUUGACACUCGGUGGAAAACACUCACAGAAUCACCAAUUAGUCCUUUUGCAUGAGCACUGAAUAUUCAGGGAGAGACAACUGGGUCAGGUUCGGGGCAAAAGAACAUUCAUUGCAAGCAGGAUUUCCAAAGGAAUGCAAAGGAACCAAUAGAUGUCUGGCAAAUUCAGCUCACAGAAAGAGAAAAAGAAAAAAAAAGAUAUUUGGAGGAAAUGCUAUUUCUGGUUAUGUGGAUUUAGCCCCCCCAGUCAUAGGAACAGCUAAGGAGCCCAGGUCUUGUACCUGCAGGAGUUUUGCCAGUUCAGCUGUGCAUGGCUGGAGUCACAUCGAACACAGGUGAGAGACUGGCAUAAGCCUUAUGUAUCCCUCCAGCCUGCCCAUGCAGAGACCACCAAUCCAGUUACACUACAGACUAAAACUCUAGGAAAGGGCUCUUAUUGAUCUGUGUAAUGUAUUUUAGGCAGGACAAUUCCUUGAAUAGCUUUCUGUUGUAAAAAGGAAACCACCUCAGUUUACUCACUGUAGAGAGGAGAGAGGUAGGUACCUCUGAUCAUAUAGAUACUUGAAAAUAUAUGUAUGGGGCUUUACUAUCCUCAUCUGGAGGGAAGUGAAGAAACCAAUAUGAGUCUCUUACUUGUAAUACUAAUAUUGCUCCAAAGAAUGCAUGACCAAGUGAGACAUGCAUAGACAUGCCAAGUUCUGAGAUACAGCACUUAGAAAUAAAGCAAUCAAAUUGCCAGGACAUCAGUCUGCACAGGCAGCAUAAUGUCUCAAUCCCAGUGAUUAGUGUCUUUUACUACAAGAAGUACAAUAUUUGGUGCCUAAUACAUUCCUCUGCUUUUGUUAUGCUUGCCAACAUUGAUUGUGACUCACAGUAAAACAAAGGUAACUUUUGACAUCCUUCACAAACUCCCACUCAUCAAUUAGAGGCCGUAAAGCUUCGAUGUUUCGAAGUUUUCAGUAAAUUUGAAUGCAGGCUUGCCAUGGCUAAUGCUUAUCCUUCAGCACAUAAUCGGCUGAGUGUUAAUGAGCUAGAAGGGCUCGGAUGUGGCCAAUCAAGCUCAGGCAGCAGCUUAUUCUAGAAAGCUUCUAUUUUUGGAGCAGCUGAACCAAGACUUAACAGGUUAUUCCAGAUAAGUCUCAUUACUGCAUUUCCCAAAUGCCAUGGAUGGUGGUUGUGCAGGACAGCAAGAAGUUUGAGCAACCUGGUCUAGUGGAAGGUGUCCCUGCCCAUGGCACGGGAGCUGAAACUAGAUGAUCUUUCAGGACCUUUCCAAACCAAAGCACUCUAUGAUGUCAUGACUGUAAGACCACACCAAAGCUGGCCACAAUGAUUUGGGAAAUCUCCAUCUUCAUAACUCCUGCAUGGAGGCUGAAGUGGUGAAGCAGCAUUGCCAUGCCCUGCCUCAGUAUAGACUGAAUUGCCUGCACACUAUCAGGAUGGCAUAUAUGUUGCUCUGAGCAAGGCUGAUGGGGAGUGGUUAAACUGUGCUGACUCUCCUUUCAGAGGAGACCUGGGCAUAGCAAACCAGGCAGAUCACAGGUGACAAAUGUUUUCAAAUGUUUUCCUCAUGUCCUCUGCAAGGUGAGGAAGUAUAAAAGGUGAGAAAUCUGGGCUCAGGAGAAGAAGUAUCUUAAACUUGCAAGAUGCGAUUUAAGAGAAGAAGCAAAGAGCAGGGGAGCAGGGGCAGAGCUUAUGUGUUUGUAGCUCAGUGAAGAGCCUGGUUUAACUGUUGAACAAUCAAGAAUUCAGGCCAGCAUCUACAAAUGAGGCAGAGAGAUGCUCUGCCUCCAAAAAGAAACCUCAUGGGUGCCUGCUGCUGCAUAGGUGGCAGUGUCCCAAGCUCCCAUGUCCAUCAAGCCUGGAUAUGCUCAAGAGCACUGACAGACCAUUUCAGCACCGAUCCAGCCACCUUGGUGGUGACUUCUGGUGUGGGCACAGGGCUCAUGGAGCUGCCUUGCAUUGCCUGGCAUGUACUGAGUCAGAUCCUAUGUGUGCACAUGAAGUUUUUGCUCUGCAGCAGCUGGAAGAAGGGCAGAGGGGUGUUUCUACGCUUGUGGCAUGGAUGUAUGCAAGAACAUUUCUCAUGCUUAGCAGUGGCCCAGCAGAUGCUGUGCCUGUAGUGACACAAGCCAUGCUGGUAGAGGAACUGAGGCUAAAAGUCAGUGUCCAUCCAUGUGGGAUCUCAAAUAAGAAGCGCAACUCCGUGGAGUAGUCAUGGUUGCCUUUGUGCUCUCCUGUCUGCUGGCUGUGUCUGAGAGGAAAGGCAAGUUUAUACAGGAAACCAAUACCAAAAUCUGGCUGCAUCACUGCCAGGCACUUGGGGAUUGCCUUUACCCCACCUGUAGGACUCUUUGCAUAGCCCAGCACUGUGUCUUGCUCAUGGCCCUUGAUAAUCAGUAUAGCAUUGGCAAAUGGAGCUGCUGACUGGAGCCAGCUGUGAGGGCAUGGAAAAGCAGCUGAGAGCCUGGCACAGCCUUCAGAAACACAUAUAGGGAUGUGCCUGCUGAGGUUAAACUGCUGCUUAUUCUCACGGGAGGGAAAUCUCAUGAGUUGCCUCUACAGAGUGAUGCCUCAGAGCUUUAUUUGGAUAUUUUAAUUUUUAUAGAUUUGAGAAGUAAUUGUGUAAUAAAUUUAGAUUUUAAUGUAGCCAUAUUAUAUCCCUUACCCUGUAGCAUAAUGUUUACACAUACUCAACCCUACUUCCCCAUUUCAUAUCAAUCCCUCUAAAAUUCUGUUAGCGUGUUCAGUCUUCUUUUCAAGGUAGAAUUGUAGAAAAACACCUUAAGGCCUGGACCAAAAGAUAUCACACAGACACAGCGACCUUCAAGCCCAGAACUCUGGAGGAACUCCAAGGACUGUAUGUGCUUUGAAGAAGAUGAAGAUGAGGAAGAAGGGAUCCCAAACGCCCUCAGACCCAAUUCCCAAAUGGGCGUGUCGGGGGGCAGAACGGGGCAGAACCGGGGGUGGACAAAUUGGGAUUGGAUGGACCUUACUAUAAAAUCAUAGAACCACUGUCUGAGCGCACACUUGGUAUGUAUUCUUCUAGCUCUACGGACUCAUUAAAGGACCUGCUCUCUUUAUCUUAUCUUAUACACUAAAUUUGCCUGGAGUCUUUUUUCUCUGUGGUCUUUUAGGCAACAGAGAGAAUUGCAAACAGUGGCAUGGCUCCUUUCAUGUCAGUGCAACCAGGUGACAUCCUCUGUAAUCCCCUGGGGACAUGGUUCUAAUCCUUGCCUCCAGGCUCCAGUUCUGCCACUCUGAGAGAAAAGUCUCCACACUAGCAUUAUGCCUUCUUGCCCUCUCCUCCCUCUUUCCUUGCUGUACCCCAGCCUCUCUGCUGGGCAGCUUGAGCGUGGCACAAUGAGGCACACAGUCAGCCCAGGCAAAUGAGCAAACACCAUAAACCUCUUACUGUUGUUUGUCCAAAAUACUUCUGUUGUGCUUCUGAAUAGGAUUCACUGGUGAUGUACUGCUGCACGAGAAACCCUCCACUAGCAGGAUCAACAAGUAUUACUUGAGCAGGAAGAAAGCUUGCGCCACCUUACAAUGCCUCUCACUUAAAAUGAAGGAAGACGCUGUCAUUAAAAUGCUUCUGGUUCCAUCAGGAGAUUUCUCUCUUCUUCCUGCCUUCCAGUUAUGAACUUGUUUCAAUAAAAACUGAACCACUGGCCACGUUUUCCAAGACAAGCAGGAUGUGAAGUCACAAAUAAUGGAGCUGCUGAGGUUUCCCAGGAUAACAUUUCUUUUACAGUCUUUAUCCUGCUGUGUCUAUUCCUUCAACUGAAUGAAGGAAUCACUGAUUUCAUUGGAGGUACAGAAGGAAGAUCUUCCAGCCUGUUGUUUGUGCUAGAUGCAGACGAGUUUUGCCCUUUCCCUGGUCAAAGGCUACUGUGGAGCACCAUGCUGUAUUUUCAUCUUCCCAGUCUUCUCUGGAUAAAGUCUGGCUCUUCACUCUUAAGCCAACUUUUAUUAAUGCUCUUCCCAGCUUUUCAGC